rnacentral:rRNA from 1 species
UAUCUCUGUAGAGUCUGCAUAUCAAUAAGCGGAGGAAAAGAAACUAACUAAGGAUUCCCUUAGUAACGGCGAGUGAAGCGGGAAGAGCUCAAAUUUGAAAUCUUCAAGGUUCUACCUUGACGAAUUGUAGUUUAAAGAAGUGUUUUCUGUUAGAUGAGUAGCAAAAGUUCCUUGGAAUGGGACAUCAUAGAGGGUGAGAAUCCCGUAUUUGGUACCUUACUUCUAGCUUUGUGAUACACUUUCAAAGAGUCGGAUUGUUUGGGAAUGCAGUCCAAAAUGGGUGGUAAAUUUCAUCUAAAGCUAAAUAUUGGCGAGAGGACCGAUAGCGAACAAGUACCGUGAGGGAAAGAUGAAAAGAACUUUGAAAAGAGAGUUAAACAGUACGUGAAAUUGUCAAAAGGGAAGCGUUUGACACCAGUGUUGUUUUUCUCGAAAAUCAAUUACGAAUGGCUUGAUUCUGUGUUGUAUUGACCUUAUCAGCUUUCUUCACUUCUUUCGAGUCUUUCUUAAUGCACUUUUCGGUUAACAAGUCAACAUCAAUUUCUUUUGUUGUAAAAGAGUAUUCGGAAGGUGGCUUUCUUUUCGGAGAAAGUGUCUAUAGCCCUAUACUUCUACAAUCGGAGAGAUUGAGGUCUGCAGCGUAGAUCCUUCGGGGUUAGAUACAUUUGUGCUAAGUUGUAGCCUUUCAUAGACAACUUGUUGACUAUGAUCAGUCAUGUAGCUUACUCGCUUAUGCUAUUUUACCUACGCUUAGGAUGUUGAAGAUGUAGCACAUCAU